rnacentral:rRNA from 1 species
CAGUCGCCGGCGGGAAUACGAAGGGUGCAAGCGUUACUCGGAAUUACUGGGCGUAAAGCGUGCGUAGGUGGUGGUUUAAGUCCGUUGUGAAAGCCCUGGGCUCAACCUGGGAAUUGCAGUGGAUACUGGGUCACUAGAGUGUGGUAGAGGAUAGUGGAAUUUCCGGUGUAGCAGUGAAAUGCGUAGAGAUCGGAAGGAACAUCUGUGGCGAAGGCGACUAUCUGGGCCAACACUGACACUGAGGCACGAAAGCGUGGGGAGCAAACAGGAUUAGAUACCCCGGUAGUCCCUGUCUCUUAUA